rnacentral:rRNA from 1 species
AGGAAUAUUGGUCAAUGGCCGGAAGGCUGAACCAGCCAAGUCGCGUGAAGGAGGACUGCCCUAAGGGUUGUAAACUUCUUUUUCAGGGGAAUAAAGACAGAGAUGCGUCUCUGGUUGCAUGUACCCUGCGAAUAAGCAUCGGCUAACUCCGUGCCAGCAGCCGCGGUAAUACGGAGGAUGCGAGCGUUAUCCGGAUUUAUUGGGUUUAAAGGGUGCGUAGGUGGGCUGUUAAGUCAGCGGUGAAAUUUUGGUCGCUUAACGAUAAAAUUGCCGUUGAAACUGGGAGUCUUGAGUAUGGAAGAAGCAGGCGGAAUGCGUGGUGUAGCGGUGAAAUGCUUAGAGAUCACGCAGAACUCCGAUUGCGAAGGCAGCUUGCUAUACCACAACUGACACUGAAGCACGAAAGCGUGGGUAUCAAACAGGAUUAGAUACCCUGGUAGUCCACGCAGUAAACGAUGAUUACUAGGAGUUUGCGAUAAAGAGUAAGCUCUACAGCGAAAGCGUUAAGUAAUCCACCUGGGGAGUACGCCGGCAACGGUGAAACUCAAAGGAAUUGACGGGGGCCCGCACAAGCGGAGGAACAUGUGGUUUAAUUCGAUGAUACGCGAGGAACCUUACCCGGGAUUGAAAUGUGCACGAAUGAAGUUGAAAGGCUUCAGCCAGAAAUGGCGUGCAUGUAGGUGCUGCAUGGUUGUCGUCAGCUCGUGCCGUGAGGUGUCGGCUUAAGUGCCAUAACGAGCGCAACCCUGACCGUCAGUUGCCAUCAGGUAAAGCUGGGGACUCUGGCGGGACUGCCGGCGUAAGCUGAGAGGAAGGUUGGGAUGACGUCAAAUCAGCACGGCCCUUACAUCCGGGGCGACACACGUGUUACAAUGGUGGGGACAAAGGGCAGCUACCGGGCGACCGGAUGCGAAUCUCCAAACCCCAUCUCAGUUCGGAUCGGAGUCUGCAACUCGACUCCGUGAAGCUGGAUUCGCUAGUAAUCGCGCAUCAGCCAUGGCGCGGUGAAUACGUUCCCGGGCCUUGUACACACCGCCCGUCAAGCCAUCGGGAGCCGGGGGGACCUGAAGUCCGUAACCGCAAGGAUCGGCCUAGGGUAAAACCGGUGACUGGGGC